GACAACCCACACUAUACUAAAGAUGCAUAGGCUUCACAGCAAAGAUCAGCAUAGCUUUAUCUCAGUAUCUCCCAAUGACCCCUGGCCUGGUCACGCCAUCAGCACUCCCGGUUCCUUUUCCUUUCUCUGCAUGAAGUGUUUCAUCUCCAUUGGCUAGCCAGAUCCUCCUGGUUCUUCCCCUCUGUAAAAUGGGGCAAGUCUACCACGCCUCCAUACCCACUCUGUCUGGAGCAUGCGGGAGACCAGGCCCCAGAGGCGUGAGCUCCUGGGAAGAAGGCUGUGUGGAAGGGGACAGGUACAGGAGCUGUGCCACUGGAACUCUACGGAGGUAUAGUGUCUGGAAGCUCAGGUACGGGGCGGCGAGACACACACAAAGCUGCAGUGUGAGUUUCCCUGCAGGAUAUCUCGGCCUAGCUGUGGCCAGGGCCUGGUACCAAUGACCUCUCAGGGCUUUGGAUGCACCAGGUCAAACCAGCCAACCACCUGCCUCCAAUCAGGAAUGCACGCCCCAUCCCAGGCAGAGAGACAAGGGAGUUCCACAAUUUCUUCCUUGAUGAAUGAUUCCUAUCUACCACAAUUUUCAUUCAAUGCAUCAAAUCAACCAAUGAUGAUUUAAAAACAGCACUACAAAAACUCCGCAAAGCGGGUGGGAAUUUCCUGCUUGGGUCCAGCCUCCGUGUUUCCCGCGCACAGCCCGGUCUUUACCCUGGAUGCUUCCGAACCGGCAUCAUCUGGCAUCUCCGACAGUCUUGAUGCGACUUAACGCAUGGUAAGAACCCAUCAGAGAAGGUGAAAGGGAUUUCCAGAGACAGGUAGAGGCACUGCGCUGGGCAGCACCAGGGAGGAAUAUUAUCUUUUCAAGCAGCUGGACUCUGACCUAGAAGCCGGAACUCCUGAGUACUGAGGUCAGCACCUCUCUCACACACCCCCAGCUAUAAGCUUGAAGGAAACCCCUCCCCUUCUCUGGGCCUUGAUUUCCCCUCCUGCUCAGUGGGGACGUUCUUGGUCCUCCUUCUUGCCCACUCUACCCAGUCGCCGAGUCUGGCGAAGCAGAGCUGUCUGGGGGUCACCGCAGCAGGAGGGACCGAGCUUAGAUACGAAAAAAGACUUCUACACGGCAAGAGCCACAGAAAGGACGCUCCAGCUGGCUCAGCAGAGGGGCAUCUCUCCCUUUCAAGAACAAAAGGUGGCAGGUACCCGGGGGCCCUGGGGCAGAACGAGGUAAAUUCUGCACGGACUUCCACAUCUAAGACCCCAGAAAUCUCCAGCCGGCUCCCUCCGACCGUGAGUGCGUAAAACCCGGGAGCAGCAGGAGGGGAGGGCGGGGGUGCAGCUGGCCCCCCUGGGGUGUCCCCUCAGUCCCUGCGCCCCCGACCCUCGCCGGGCCAGCCUGGGGAAAGCCUUUCCGCCUCCGUGCGCUGCCCCGACUCCUCCGUGGGGAGGGAACGUGGAGUCGGGAUCUCGGCGGCGUGGGCGGGCCGGCUGGUAGCCGGCAGGCGAGAAGGAAUCUCCCGGCCCACGCGCGCCUCCCAGCGUCCAGCCUCGCACUUCCUCGCGGGGGCGGCGGCGAGGACCUGCACCCCGGCGCGGGGAAGCCGCGUGCCCACAGCCUCCCCGCGCCCCCGCCGCGCCCCGCCCCG
rnacentral:lncRNA from 1 species